rnacentral:rRNA from 1 species
AACGAACGCUGGCGGCAUGCCUAACACAUGCAAGUCGAACGAGACCUUCGGGUCUAGUGGCGCACGGGUGCGUAACGCGUGGGAACCUGCCCUUAGGUUCGGAAUAACUCCCCGAAAGGGGUGCUAAUACCGGAUAAUGUCUUCGGACCAAAGAUUUAUCGCCUUUGGAUGGGCCCGCGUUGGAUUAGCUAGUUGGUAGGGUAAAAGCCUACCAAGGCGACGAUCCAUAGCUGGUCUGAGAGGAUGAUCAGCCACACUGGGACUGAGACACGGCCCAGACUGGCGGGGGGGGCAGAGGUGGAAAAUAGUCGAGGAGGGGCGCAGGCCGAAGCUAGUGAUGGGGGGGGGGAGGGGAGGUGAUAGGGGUUAUAAAGCUCGUUGACCGGGGAUGCGACUGCAGGUGCGGGGAGAAUAAGGCGCGGAUAACUCCGAGCCAGCGGCGAGGGAAAAAAAGGAGGCGCACACGUCUGACC